UGGAUAAGUAGCCUGUUAUACAACAAGAAU
rnacentral:piRNA from 1 species